CAUUACCGAGUUAGGGGCCUUCGGGCUCCAAACUUCCAACCCUUUGCUUACAAACUUUUGUUGCUUUGGCGGAGCGGGGGUCUUUCUCCCCCCCGCUGGCUUCGGUCAGUGCUUCUCCGCCAGAGGUUUUUCAAAAACUUUGCCUGAAAACGUGUCUGUCUGAAACAAAAAAUUUAAAUCGCAAAAAAACUUUCAACAACGGAUCUCUUGGUUCUGGCAUCGAUGAAGAACGCAGCGAAAUGCGAUAAGUAAUGUGAAUUGCAGAAUUCAGUGAAUCAUCGAAUCUUUGAACGCACAUUGCGCCCUCUGGUAUUCCGGAGGGCAUGCCUGUUCGAGCGUCAUUACACCCCUCAAGCUCUGCUUGGUAUUGGGAGCCCGCCCCGAUUGGGGGCGCCCCCGAAAAUCAGCGGCGGUGCAGCCGAUAUCUCUAGCGCAGUGACAUACUUCUCGCUACGGAUUUUAGGCAACACCACGCCGAAAAAGCCCCUUUUAUCUUUUAAUAAUUGACCUCGGAUCAGGUAGGAAUACCC
rnacentral:rRNA from 1 species